UAAAAGACUGAGGCACCCUGAAGACCGAGCGGAUAAACCGAGGUGGAAACACAAAUUAGACGCAUCUAUUUGCCGCUAUUUUUGCGCUUUGGCAGAUAAGAGAAGCCCGUUGAAAAAAAAAACAAGAAGGCAAGAAAGAAGGAAAGAAAAAUAGUGGCGUUAUGACAAGCCGUUUUGGAGUUGGAGUGGCGAAGUUGACAUAGGAGCUGACUGACCGAGAGAACCGGGAGCAAAAGCGAAAAAAAGAGAGAAAAGACGUGGGAGAGAAAACGGAAGGCAAGACUUUAUUUCGAGGGUGGUGCUCUCAAACACGCGGCCAGCUGUCCUACAGGACCAAACACCAGUGAAACACACCUUCAGGAGAACUUCGGGAGAACUCCCCACACUAAGCCGCGUGACUGGCGAACAUCGUUCUGCUCAAAGUGGACUACACACAUGCUCAUCUGACUCCCGUGAACUGGAAAAAGACUAAUCAAACAUUUAACAGUUGGGGAGGGAGACAGAAAUAGAGACGGAAGGACAGAGAACUGUUUCCAGGACCAGAGAUCUG